GAUGAACGCUGUCUACAGGCUUAACACAUGCAAGUCGAGGGGAAACGACGGGGAAGCUUGCUUCCCCGGGCGUCGACCGGCGCACGGGUGAGUAACGCGUAUCCAACCUGCCUCUGACUGAGGGAUAACCCGUCGAAAGUCGGCCUAAUACCUCAUGGCAUCGUCUGCGGGCAUCCAACGACGAUUAAAGAUUUCAUCGGUCAGGGAUGGGGAUGCGUCUGAUUAGCUUGUUGGCGGGGUAACGGCCCACCAAGGCUACGAUCAGUAGGGGUUCUGAGAGGAAGGUCCCCCACAUUGGAACUGAGACACGGUCCAAACUCCUACGGGAGGCAGCAGUAAGGAAUAUUGGUCAAUGGGCGGGAGCCUGAACCAGCCAAGUAGCGUGCAGGAUGACGGCCCUAUGGGUUGUAAACUGCUUUUAUGCGGGGAUAAAGUGAGGGACGUGUCCUUCAUUGCAGGUACCGCAUGAAUAAGGACCGGCUAAUUCCGUG
rnacentral:rRNA from 1 species